UUGUAUUGUCCUAUACAUGAGUAAGAAAAAACUAAAAACUACAAACGUUCCUUAAAUACUGUAGUAGCAUCGGAGAACUUUUCAAUACUAGAGUAAGAGAUAAGACGAGCUAUAAAGAAUUAUGAAUGUUGUUUAAUAAAUGAAACUUAAAAUUAAAAUCAAUUCGAUGUGUUAAGCCGUCUCUGACUAUUGAAUAAACAAAAUUUUAUAAAGAAAAUCAGUAAUAAGACUAAUUACAAGUGAAAGAUUGAAGGGUAUAAAUUACGCUGAAGGAAGGAGUUGGUGACGGACGAUUCUUCAAAGACUACGUUUUCAAUUUCAUCACAUCAAACAAGGUAUAUAUAUUUGUUUCUUAAAUAUUUUAUAGCUAUAUAUAUCAUAACAUUAGGCACAUCGCAUAUUCCAAAGUGGAAGAUUAAAUAUAAGCGGUUACGUAGACAUCAAUACCAACCUCUGUUUGUAAAAUGUCGUGAUAAUUGUAUUUUUAUAUUUGUCUGUUGCAUGUGAGUGGGACGCCUUAUAAUUCUGUCUUAUAUCUAAGUGAGGACGAUAGCUCUGAAAACACAGCGAGUUCCAUCCACCAGCGCUGGCCAUACGAACGAUCUGAUGAGGUCCGAGCGACGCUCUCGACUGUCCUGAGAGAAACGAACGUGCUUUUCGGGGUUCAUGACCACUGAAACAUAUAUUGAACAUUUGGCAAUUGGCUCCUGGGGCAGUAACAAACAAAUAUGUGUUCAUAUAUAAUUAAAUAACGAACAAUCGAUGUACAACGGUUUUAAUUUUAAGCAUAAAAUGGAAAUGCGAUUAUUAUAUUUUAUUGUAAUUAGAGAUAAAAAAUUACAAAUAAAAUUUUGCGUAAACAGUUUUGAGAACAUUAUUGGUAUCAUUACAUAUAUCACAUACACCCAUAUAAAACACUUUGUUAAUAUUAUCUACCAAAUAUUAAACGAAAAAAAACUACCACAGAAAAAUUUACAUGUCCUUGUUGAUGUACUGUAUAAAUUAAUGUGAAAUAUUUUCGGAAACAGAAAAUGUAAUGUACCAGGUGUGAAGUCAGUAUCUAUCCUGAGCGGCGGAUGGAGGCUGAUGGUCCAUGCAGCACGACAGGCGACCGCCGCCAGUGCAUGGAGAGCCCCGCAAGACUCCAGACAAGGAUACUCCCGGAGAGUACUCACCACCUGAUACAUGAAGACGAAACGAAAGAGGGAAGGUAUCAGCCGUGUUCCUCAGCAGCCUCAUAGCAGCGGCGACAAAACCCGAGGUGCCCGGUGUAUCGUCUGAUUCACAUCCGAGUAAAGAUUUCACUUCACUGAUGCGUUUGUCUCGCAGACUGAUGGCAGCAC